rnacentral:tRNA from 2 species
GUCCUCUUAGUUAAAUGGAUAUAACGAGCCCCUCCUAAGGGCUAAUUGCAGGUUCGAUGCCUGCAGGGGACACCA